GGUUAAUGCUAGCGGUGCGCCUAACACAUGCAAGUCGAGCGCACCUUCGGGUGAGCGGCGGACGGGUGAGUAACGCGUGGGAACGUGCCCUUUGGUACGGAACAACUGAGGGAAACUUCAGCUAAUACCGUAUGUGCCCUUCGGGGGAAAGAUUUAUCGCCAUUGGAGCGGCCCGCGUUGGAUUAGCUAGUUGGUGGGGUAAAGGCCCACCAAGGCGACGAUCCAUAGCUGGUCUGAGAGGAUGAUCAGCCACACUGGGACUGAGACACGGCCCAGACCCCUACGGGAGGCAGCAGUAGGGAAUCUUGCGCAAUGGGCGAAAGCCUGACGCAGCCAUGCCGCGUGAAUGAUGAAGGUCUUAGGAUUGUAAAAUUCUUUCACCGGGGAAGAUAAUGACGGUACCCGGAGAAGAAGCCCCGGCUAACUUCGUGCCAGCCGCCGCGGUAA
rnacentral:rRNA from 1 species